rnacentral:sRNA from 1 species
UGGUGCGAUGGGCACAUGCUCAAGUAAAGAGAUAUGAUCAUAACAAGAAUGAUAAGAUUCUUCCAAUCAGUCUCGAGCCAUCCUCAAGCACUGAGCCUACUCAGUCUAAUCUAAGAGGACCUCAGCUUACAUCUCUCUAUUAACAUCUAUGCCUAAUGAGAGAAGGUUGCUUCCCUGUGACUUAUACAAAAUCAGUGACCGGCUGUGGCAUUAAUGGAAGAGGGGCCAGAAUGCAUCUCGUGUCACUGCAAAGAUAAAAGCCAUUGAAGCAAAACUGAAAAUGAUGGCGGAAAAUCCUGAUGCAGAGUAUCCAGCAGCGCCUGUUUAUUCCUACUUUAAGCCACCAGAUAAAAAAAGGACUACUCCAUAUUCUAGAACAGCAUGGAAAUCUCGAAGAUGAUGGUUGUGAAUUACUGUAGCAGCAAAAGCAAAUUGGUCUCCACACCUAAAAUCGUCUGCCUGUGUACUUUGUAGAUGUGAAUGGUACUAUUCAACGGAGCACAAUCACAUGUUAGCAUUUGGUAACAUAAUGUUUUUGGAUGUUCUUAUGGAUGUUUCUUCCCUAAACUAUGUAUGGAAUUGAGCAUCAUCCAGAAUAAAUAGCGUUGUAUCCC